UGGAGCUGAAAUCAGUCGAAGAUACCAGCUGGCUGCAACUGUUUAUUAAAAACACAGCACUGUGCAAACACGAAAGUGGACGUAUACGGUGUGACGCCUGCCCGGUGCCGGAAGGUUAAUUGAUGGGGUUAUCCGUAAGGAGAAGCUCUUGAUCGAAGCCCCGGUAAACGGCGGCCGUAACUAUAACGGUCCUAAGGUAGCGAAAUUCCUUGUCGGGUAAGUUCCGACCUGCACGAAUGGCGUAAUGAUGGCCAGGCUGUCUCCACCCGAGACUCAGUGAAAUUGAACUCGCUGUGAAGAUGCAGUGUACCCGCGGCAAGACGGAAAGACCCCGUGAACCUUUACUAUAGCUUGACACUGAACACUGGUCCUUGAUGUGUAGGAUAGGUGGGAGGCUUUGAAGUGUGGACGCCAGUCUGCAUGGAGCCAACCUUGAAAUACCACCCUUUAAUGGCUGGUGUUCUAACGUGGGCCCGUAAUCCGGGUUGCGGACAGUGUCUGGUGGGUAGUUUGACUGGGGCGGUCUCCUCCUAAAGAGUAACGGAGGAGCACGAAGGUUAGCUAAUCCUGGUCGGACAUCAGGAGGUUAGUGCAAAGGCAUAAGCUAGCUUGACUGCGAGAGUGACGGCUCGAGCAGGUGCGAAAGCAGGUCUUAGUGAUCCGGUGGUUCUGAAUGGAAGGGCCAUCGCUCAACGGAUAAAAGGUACUCCGGGGAUAACAGGCUGAUACCGCCCAAGAGUUCAUAUCGACGGCGGUGUUUGGCACCUCGAUGUCGGCUCAUCACAUCCUGGGGCUGAAGUAGGUCCCAAGGGUAUGGCUGUUCGCCAUUUAAAGUGGUACGCGAGCUGGGUUUAGAACGUCGUGAGACAGUUCGGUCCCUAUCUGCCGUGGGCGCUGGAGAAUUGAGGGGGGCUGCUCCUAGUACGAGAGGACCGGAGUGGACGCAUCACUGGUGUUCGGGUUGUCAUGCCAAUGGCAUUGCCCGGUAGCUAAAUGCGGAAGAGAUAAGUGCUGAAAGCAUCUAAGCACGAAACUUGCCCCGAGAUGAGUUCUCCCUGAGACUGUAAGUCUCCUGAAGGAACGUU
rnacentral:rRNA from 1 species